CUCUUUGUAACUUUGAAAAUUUCUCCAUAUGCAUAUGUUUCACAUAUUCACGACCACACCAUGGGCGGUGGUAAUGAAGAGCGGCGCAGUAGCAUCUUUGGAUUCGCCGGAAAAGUUCAGCGCAACACCUAGACGAUGGCGAGCUUGGACUAUAGGCAGCAUCUUUGUUGUCAUCGGAGGAAUAGGUGGCGCGGCUCUUCAGUCUACGGUGAGUUUGACUGGUGGACUUGAGCGGCCAGCGGUUUGCGGCGGCAAAAGAGGAUAUAACACCGUCGAGGGCUUCCGGCGGCAAAAAUUGAAACGGGAUUCUUCAGGCGACGAUGUUUGUCGGCGGGCAUAUUCCGGCGGCCUCCCGGAUUUGACAUAGCGGGGAGAAUUGUUGGCAAAGGCAAAUGAUCGCCAUGGCUGGC
rnacentral:lncRNA from 1 species